GUGUCGUCAGCUCGUGCCGUGAGGUGUCGGGUUAAGUCCCAUAACGAGCGCAACCCUUAUCGUUAGUUGCCAGCUGGUAAAGCAGGGGACUCUAGCGAAACUGCCACCGUAAGGUGAGAGGAAGGUGGGGAUGACGUCAAAUCAGCACGGCCCUUAUGUCCAGGGCUACACACGUGUUACAAUGGCCGGCACAGAGGGCAGCUACCUGGUGACAGGAUGCUAAUCUCGAAAACCGGUCUCAGUUCGGAUCGAAGUCUGCAACUCGACUUCGUGAAGCUGGAUUCGCUAGUAAUCGCGCAUCAGCCAUGGCGCGGUGAAUACGUUCCCGGGCCUU
rnacentral:rRNA from 1 species